CACAUCACGUUGAGACACUGGUUCCUGUACGAUAAAAGUUAAACAACACAGAGCCUGGUUAGUACCUAGAUGGGUGACUGCUUGGGAAUACCAGGUGCUGUAAG